GUGUCAGCCGCCGCGGUAAUACGAAUCGUCCAAACGUUGUUCGGAUUCACUGGGUUUAAAGGGCGCGUAGGCGGUGCGUUAAGUCGGCGGUGAAAUGCUUCGGCUCAACCGGAGAAUGGCCGCUGAAACUGGCGUGCUAGAGGGAGGUAGAGGUGUGUGGAACUUCCGGUGGAGUGGUGAAAUACGUUGAUAUCGGAAGGAACACCUGUGGCGAAAGCGAUGCACUGGACCUCUUCUGACGCUGAGGCGCGAAAGCUAGGGUAGCGAACGGGAUUAGAAACCCUCGUAGUCC
rnacentral:rRNA from 1 species